ensembl:lncRNA novel transcript
CCUCAAAUGCACACAUUUUUCUCUCCACACCAUGCAGCUGCUGCCAGCGGAUGGGAGACGGGUGGCGUCUGCAAUUCAAGAUAGCCUUUCCUACCUUCUUCAGUGCCUCUUUCUGUCAUAUGAAGUUAUGACCUUCAUAUGUUUCUGUGAUAUGAAGUUAAAACAAGAUUUCGCUGUCUUCAUUAUGUACCUCAUCACUUAGAAACCAUCUGAAUUAGAAACCACCAGAGGAAAAGAAUAUUGAAGACAGUUACAGCACCUGCUAGAAGAUACACCUUGAGAUGCUUUGGAACAGUUCUUCAGGAGCAUGAAAGCUCUCACCAGAUAUAAGCACCGUGCUUUUGGAAUUCUCAGCCCCCAAAAUGGAGUCUCCUAUUAACUUAAUGGAACCCUGCAGCUGUGAAGAAUACUGGGGAGUCUUGGCAACAUCACCAGCACAGCAGCCUUGGCUAACUUCCUGAAUUAGGCCUUUUCUUUGCAGUGCUAUAAUAAAACCAUGGUGCUGAUUUAUGAUGAACGUGGAGAUGUACCACCUAGAUUUCUCUUCAAGGAAGGACUUGUUUCCUCUGCUGAUGGAAUUCCUGUCAACAGAGACCUUUCAGGUGCCAGUGACUUGGAGAAGGCCUGAGCUGUAGAGCAACAUCACCUAAGGUCACGCCCUACGUGAGUCAGCAGAAUCCACUGACUGAUGGAGAUUAUAAAGACUUAGCCAUUUUGUCUCAAUGAGGUGUACCUACAAUGGGUCAUAUGAGCUCCACAGCUCCCUGUGGAGUCAGCUCAGACUGUUGUUGACUUACAUUGUACCUCAACUUCUCUCUCUGCCAAAUCUAGCUCCCUUUACCUCACAAUCAUAGGCGUUCAUCCCAAAGACAUCCCUUAAUAUAAAUAAUGCACAAUAUACUC